UACGUAGGGUGCGAGCGUUAAUCGGAAUUACUGGGCGUAAAGCGUGCGUAGGCGGUUCGUUAAGUUCGUUGUGAAAGCCCCGGGCUCAACCUGGGAAUGACAUGGAACAUGGACGGCUGGAGGUAUGGCGAGAGGGGGUGGGGGAUCACUCGGUGUAGCAGUGAAAAUGCGUAGAGAUGUGGAGGAAUACCGAUGGCGAAGGCAGCCUCCUGGGCCAACACUGACGCUCAUGCACGAAAGCGUGGGGAGCAAACAGG
rnacentral:rRNA from 1 species